rnacentral:rRNA from 1 species
GCCGAACCGUACGAUCGUUGUUCGGAAUCACUGGGCUUAAAGCGUACGUAGGCGGAUUUACAAGUCAGGAGUGAAAUCCCAGGGCUUAACCCUGGAAUUGCUUUUGAAACUGUGAGUCUGGAAUCCGGUAGAGGUUGGCGGAACUCCGAGUGUAGAGGUGAAAUUCGCAGAUAUUCGGAAGAACACCAGUGGCGAAGGCGGCCAACUGGACCGGUAUUGACGCUGAGGUACGAAAGCGUGGGUAGAAAACAGG